rnacentral:rRNA from 1 species
GAUGAACGCUGGCGGCGUGCCUAACACAUGCAAGUCGAACGGGGUUAAGGGAAAUUUUCGGAUGGAACUUAACUUAGUGGCGGACGGGUGGGUAACGCGUGGAUAACCUGCCUCACACUGGGGGAUAGCAGCUGGAAACGGCUGGUAAUACCGCAUAAGACCACGAUGCCGCAUGGCACCAGGGUAAAAGAUUUAUCGGUGUGAGAUGGAUCCGCGUCUGAUUAGCCAGUUGGCGGGGUAACGGCCCACCAAAGCGACGAUCAGUAGCCGGCCUGAGAGGGUGAACGGCCACAUUGGGACUGAGACACGGCCCAA